rnacentral:lncRNA from 1 species
GGUAUGGGUCCUUAAGAAUCCUACCACUUCUAAGCUCAUAAAUUAUUUUGACAUUCUCAAAUUGAGGAUUCUUAGGUGGGACAUUGGAUUGAUGACUAGGUCUAGGUGGUUGGUGGAUAUUGGGUGGGUUAUUCUUGGGAUUCGAUAUUGGUUGGCUUGACAAUUGACCUGAUUCUCUCCUCAUGGUGAAUUUAGCUAAC